rnacentral:lncRNA from 10 species
UGGGUUGCAGUGCUGGUUUGGGUUGGAGUGCUGGUUUGGGUUUGAGUUCUGGUGUGGGUCGGAGUGCUGGUUUGGGUCGAGUGCUGGUUCAGGGUGGAGUGCUGGUUCGGGGUGGAGUGCUGGUUCGGGGUGGAGUGCUGGUUCGGGUCCGAGUGCUGGUUCGGGGUGGAGUGCUGGUUCGGGUCGGAGUGCUGGUUCGGGGUGGAGUGCUGGUGUGGUUUGGAGUGCUGGUUCCAGUUGAGUGCUGAUUUGGGUCGGAGUGCUGGUUUGGGUUGAGUGCUGGUUUGGGUCGGAGUGCUGGUUUGGGUCAGAGUGCUGGUUUGGGUCGAGUGCUGGUUUGGGUCGGAGUGCUGGUUCGGGUUGGAGUGCUGGUUCCGGCUGGAGUGCUGGUUUGGGUCGGAGUGCUGGUUUGGGUCGGAGUGCUGGUUUGGGCGAGUGCUGG